rnacentral:rRNA from 1 species
GAUGAACGCUAGCGGGAGGCCUAACACAUGCAAGCCGAGCGGUAGAGAUUCUUCGGGAUCUUGAGAGCGGCGUACGGGUGCGGAACACGUGUGCAACCUACCUUUAUCUGGAGGAUAGCCUUUCGAAAGGAAGAUUAAUACUCCAUAAUAUAUUGAUUGGCAUCGAUUGAUAUUGAAAGCUCCGGCGGAUAGAGAUGGGCACGCCGCAAGAUUAGCUAGUUGGUGAGGUAACGGCUCACCAAGGCGAUGAUCUUUAGGGGGCCUGAGAGGGUGAUCCCCCACACUGGUACUGAGACACGGACCAGACUCCUACGGGAGGCAGCAGUGAGGAAUAUUGGUCAAUGGGUGCAAGCCUGAGCCAGCCAUCCCGCGUGAAGGACGACUGCCCUAUGGGUUGUAAACUUCUUUUGUAUAGGGAUAAACCUACCCUCGUGAGGGUAGCUGAAGGUACUAUACGAAUAAGCACCGGCUAACUCCGUGCCAGCAGCCG